AGUUUGAGUCCUUUCCUUGUGUGAUCCAUGACUACAGUGUUUGGUCAAGAAACCUCGGACUAUCCUGCACCUUAAGGUGACUCUUCAGGGUUUGGACGAGUUGGAGUGCUUUCCUUGUAUGAUCCAUGACUACAGUGUUUGGUCAAGAAACCCCGGACCAUCCUGCACCUUCAGGUGACUCUUCAGGGUAUGGACGAGUUGGAGUCCUUUCCUUGUAUGAUCCAUGACUACAGUGUUUGGUCAAAAAACCCCGGACUAUCCUGCACCUUAAGGUGACUCUUCAGGGUUUGGACGAGUUCGUGUAAUUCCCAUCUAUGAUCCAUGACUACAUUUGUUCAGCGUUUGGUCAAGAAACCUCGGACUAUCUUGCACCUUAAGGUGACUCUUAAGGGUUUGGAAAAGUUAGUGCCCCUCCCUUUUAUGAUCCAUGACUACAUAUGUACAGCGUAUUGUCAAGAAACCCC